rnacentral:rRNA from 1 species
AGUGAACGCUGGCGGUAGGCCUAACACAUGCAAGUCGAACGGCAGCACAGUAAGAGCUUGCUCUUACGGGUGGCGAGUGGCUGACGGGUGAGGAAUACAUCGGAAUCUACUUUUUCGUGGGGGAUAACGUAGGGAAACUUACGCUAAUACCGCAUACGACCUACGGGUGAAAGCAGUGGAUCUUCGGACCUUGCUCGAUUUAAUUAGCCGAUGUCGGAUUAGCUAGUUGGCGGGGUAAAGGCCCACCAAGGCGACGAUCCGUAGCUGGUCUGAGAGGAUGAUCAGCCAAACUGGAACUGAGACACGGUCCAGACUCCUACGGAAGGCGGCAGUGGGGAAUAUUGGACAAUGGGCGCAAGCCUGAUCCAGCCAUACCGCGUGGGUGAAGAAGGCCUUCGGGUUGUAAAGCCCUUUUGUUGGGAAAGAAAAGCAGCAGGUUAAUACCCCGCUGUUCUGACGGUACCCAAAGAAUAAGCACCGGCUAACUUCGUG